AUUGAACGCUGGCGGCAGGCCUAACACAUGCAAGUCGAACGAGUGGCGGACGGGUGAGUAAUGUCUGGGAACCUGCCCGCUGGAGGGGGAUAACUACUGGAAACGGUAGCUAAUACCGCAUACCAUAGGAUGUGCCCAGAUGGGCUUAGCUAGUAGGUGGGGUAACGGAUCCCUGAGGCGACGAUCCCUAGCUGGUAUGAGAGGAUGACAAGCCACACUGGAACUGAGAAACGGUCCAGAGUCCUACGGGAGGCAGCAGUAGGGCAUAUUGCACAAUGGGCGCAAGCCGGAUGCGGCCAUGCCGCGUGUAUGAAGAAGGCCUGCGGGUUGUAAAGUACUGUCAGCGAGGAGGCGUUACUCGCAGAAGAAGCAUCGGCUAACUCCGUGCCAGCAGCCGCGGUAAUAGGUAAUUC
rnacentral:rRNA from 1 species